UACGGAGGGGGCUAGCGUUGUUCGGAAUUACUGGGCGUAAAGCGCGCGUAGGCGGAUCUGCAAGUCGGGGGUGAAAUCCCGAGGCUCAACCUCGGAACUGCCUUCGAUACUGCGGGUCUCGAGUCCGGGAGAGGUGAGUGGAAUUCCUAGUGUAGAGGUGAAAUUCGUAGAUAUUAGGAAGAACACCAGUGGCGAAGGCGGCUCACUGGCCCGGUACUGACGCUGAGGCGGCGAAAGCGUGGGGAGCAAACGGG
rnacentral:rRNA from 1 species